rnacentral:rRNA from 1 species
AUUGAACGCUGGCGGCAGGCCUAACACAUGCAAGUCGAACGAGUGGCGGACGGGUGAGUAAUGUCUGGGAAACUGCCCGAUGGAGGGGGAUAACUACUGGAAACGGUAGCUAAUACCGCAUACCAUCGGAUGUGCCCAGAUGGGAUUAGCUUGUAGGUGAGGUAACGGCUCACCUAGGCGACGAUGCCUAGCUGGUCUGAGAGGAUGACCAGCGACACUGGAACUGAUAGACGGGCCAUACUCCUACGGGAGGCAGCAGUGGGGAAGAUUGCACAAUGGGCGCAAGCCUGAGGCAGCCAUGCCGCGUGUAUGAAGAAGGCCUUCGGGUUGUAAAGUACUUUCAGCGGGGAGGCGUUACCCGCAUAAGAAGCACCGGCUAACUCCGUGCCAGCAGCCGCGGUAAUAC